rnacentral:rRNA from 1 species
CACGUAGGGCGCAAGCGUUGUCCGGAAUUAUUGGGCGUAAAGAGCUCGUAGGCGGUCUGUUGCGUCUGCUGUGAAAACUCGGGGCUUAACCCCGAGCCUGCAGUGGAUACGGGCAGACUAGAGGUAGGUAGGGGAGAAUGGAAUUCCCGGUGUAGCGGUGAAAUGCGCAGAUAUCAGGAAGAACACCCGUGGCGAAGGCGGUUCUCUGGAACGCAACUGACGCUGAGACGCGAAAGCGUGGGGAGCAAACAGG